rnacentral:rRNA from 1 species
GACGAAUGCUGGCGGCGUGCUUAACACAUGCAAGUCGAACGGAAGGGCCCUGCUUGCAGGGUACUCGAGUGGCGAACGGGUGAGUAACACGCGGGUGAUCUGCCCUGCUCUUCGGGAUAAGCCUGGGCAACUGGGUCUAAUACCGGCUAGGAGCCAUUUUUAGUCCGAUGGUUGGAAAGUUUUUUCGGUUUAGGCUGAGCGCUCGGCCUAUCAGCUUGUUGGUGUGGUAAUGUCCUACCAAGGCGGCGUCGGGUAGCCGACCUGCGAGGGGGGACGGCCACAUGGGGACUGAGAGACGGCGCAGACUGCAACGGGAGGCAGUAGUCGAGAAUAUUGCACAAUGAGCGCAAGCCUGAUGCAGCGACGCCGGGUGGGGGAUGACGGCCUACGGGUUGUAAACACCUUUCGCUAGAGACGAAGAUUUUGUGACGGUACCUAGAUAAAAAGCACCGGCUAACUACGUG